UAGUGGUUGGGCCAGACUAGCGGUUAAGAGCGUUAGGCCAGUAACUGAAAAGUCACUGAUUCGAAUCCCUGAGCUGACUAGGUGAAAAAUCUGUCGAUGUGCCCGUUGAGCAAAGCGCUUACAUUCUCCUGUAAGUCGCUCUGGAUAAGCGUCUGCUAAAUGAUUAAAAUGUCAAACUUCAGGAGCAGCUUCCUCCUACAGUAACUGAGGACAUUCCGGAACCUACAGACUCAGAAGAAGCUGCAUGCUCGAAUGGGAAGGGACAACACUGCGAGCACAACCAGUGAAUACCUGAACUUCAUGAGGGAGACCGAGGCCUCAUACCUGGAAACACUUCAGGCCAGCGUCAGCAGCAGGAUCAGCACUUCAAUCAACUGUGUGAAGAUGAGGCAGCAGCCAGAG